GACGAACGCUGGCGGCGUGCUUAACACAUGCCAGUCGAGCGGAAAGGCCCUGCUUUUGUGGGGUUCUCGAGUGGCGAACGGGUGAGUAACACGUGAGUAUCCUGCGCUUGACUGUGGGAUAACUUCAGGAGACUGGGGCUAAUACCGGAUAGGAGCUCCUGAAGCAUGGGGGGGGUUGGACAGUUUCGGCGGUUGGGGAUGGACUCCCGGCUUAUCAGCUUGUUGGGGGGGUAGUGGCUUACCAAGGCUUUGACGGGUAGCCGGCCUGAGAGGGUGACCGGCCACAUUGGGACUGAGAUACGGCCCAGACUCCUACGGGAGGCAGCAGUGGGGAAUAUGGCACAAUGGGCGGAAGCCUGAUGCAGCAACGCCGCGUGCGGAAUGACCGCCUUCGGGGGAGAAACCGCUUUAGCCUGUGACGAAGCGUGAGUGACGGUAAUGGGUAAAGAAGCACCGGCUAACUACGUG
rnacentral:rRNA from 1 species